ACAACCCUAGGAGAGGGUGCCAUUCACAUAGACUAUAAUUGAAUGGCGCCACUAGGGUUGUGC
ensembl:miRNA